AUACGGAGGAUCCGAGCGUUAUCCGGAUUUAUUGGGUUUAAAGGGAGCGUAGGUGGAUUGUUAAGUCAGUUGUGAAAGUUUGCGGCUCAACCGUAAAAUUGCAGUUGAAACUGGCAGUCUUGAGUACAGUAGAGGUGGGCGGAAUUCGUGGUGUAGCGGUGGAAUGCCUAGAUAUCACGAAGAACUCCGAUUGCGAAGGCAGCUCACUAGACUGUUACUGACACUGAUGCUCGAAAGUGUGGGUAUCAAACAGGAUUAGAUACCCUGGUAGUCCACACAGUAAACGAUGAAUACUCGCUGUUUGCUAUAUACAGUAAGCGGCCAAGCGAAAGCAUUAAGUAUUCCACCUGGGGAGUACGCCGGCAACGGUGAAACUCAAAUGAAUUGACGGGG
rnacentral:rRNA from 1 species